ACAGGUGAGCUGGCAGGGAAGCCAAAUGAGGGAAGAUGGUAUGUUCACUGACAAGCAAGAGCAGAUCCUUGGCAGACUGAACCAUUUCUUCCUCCUCUUUGAUCCAACUCUUCCUCUCCUGCCUGUUUACUUUCCUGAACACCUCCCUGGACGGGAGAAUCUCUGUUUCUCCCAAUGAACCAUUAAUGUAUGAAACAGAGAAGGAGCAGCCAGUACCUCUCUCAGCUCUCAUUCGGUCUACGGCAGGCAAUGGUAACCAGCAGAGCAGAGAAAUUGCCUGUUAUCAAGAAGGUCGAUUCUUCAUGGAGUUCCAUAAAUUGCUUUGUAUUGAUACCCUGUCAGACCCAGGAUUCUUAUGUUAACGCCCAGACCUGCCCCUGGGUGAACCGACCAUCCCAAACACCAGCCAAGCUCCUGUCCCAUUUUCG